GGCAGAGGUCCCAAGCGUUAGGCGGAAUCACUGGGCUUAAAGCGUGUGUAGGCGGAUCCGUAAGUACCUUGUGAAAUCCCACGGCUCAACCGUGGAACUGCUGGGUAUACUGCGGGUCUUGAGCCACCUAGGGGCGAGCGGAACAAGUGGUGGAGCGGUGAAAUGCGUAGAUAUCACUUGGAACGCCAAUGGUGAAAACAGCUCGCUGGGGGUGUGCUGACGCUGAGACACGAAAGCCAGGGGAGCAAACGGG
rnacentral:rRNA from 1 species